AAACCAUGUGAUGAAUACGGAUUUACAAUUUCUCACGACGGUCGUCUGAGAUUUCCUGAUGCAAUGAUCCUUUUUUUCUGAUGGUU
rfam:Vigna radiata var. radiata cultivar VC1973A chromosome 8, whole genome shotgun sequence